GACGAACGCUGGCGGCGUGCUUAACACAUGCAAGUCGAACGGAAAGGCCCUGCGUUUGUGGGGUUCUCGAGUGGCGAACGGGUGAGUAACACGUGAGUAACCUGCCCUUGACUUUGGGAUAGCUUCAGGAAACUGGGGCUACUACAGGAUAGGAUCUCCUGCUGCGUGGUGGGGGUUGGAAAGUUGCGGCGGUUGGGGAUGGACUCGCGGGUUAUGAGCUUGUUGGUGGGGUAGUGGAUUACCAAGGCUUUGACGGGUAGCUGGCCUGAGAGGGUGACAGGCCACAUUGGGACUGAGAUACGGCACAGACUCCUACGGGAGGCAGCAGUGGGGAAUAUUGCACCAUGGGCGGAAGGCUGAUGCAGCAACGCCGCGUGCGGGAUGACGGCUUUCGGGUUGUAAACCGCUUUCGCCUGUGACGAAGCGUGAGCGACGGUAAUGGGUAAAGAAGCACCGGCUAACUACGUG
rnacentral:rRNA from 1 species